GUUGUGCUGGAUGUAGAUCAUCUUGGAAGCACCCAUUGCCGUCCUUUUCGAAAGAUCUGACGCAAACAAAGACAACAUCCUCACACACAACGAGUUCUCCAAGUUUUUCUCCUCCUUUGAUACAAAUGGGGACCACAGUGUGACGCGAUCUGAGUUCGAACACGGCUGGACGUCGUCCGGAUUCGGCACCAGUACAGAGGCCGACACACUGUUCGCUGCCCUAGAUACCGACCACGACGGACGCAUCACCGCCUCACAUGACCUCAACUCAAGAUUUACCGCCCUUGAUGUCAACCAUGACCAUCACCUUUUCAU